AACGAACGCUGGCGGCAUGCCUAACACAUGCAAGUUGAGCGAGAAUCAGAGGGCUUGCUCUCUGAGGACAGCAGCGCACGGGUGAGUAACGCGGUGGAUAGCGUACCCUAGGGUUGAGGAUAACCCACCGAAAGGUGGACUAAUACUGAAUGUGUUCCGAGAAGGUCCGCCUUCUUUGAAGAAAGUGGGGCAACCCACGCCCAAGGAUCGGUCCGCGUUCCAUCAGCUAGUUGGUAGGGUAAAGGCCUACCAAGGCUACGACGGAUAGCUGGUCUGAGAGGAUGAUCAGCCACACUGGGACUGAGACACGGCCCAGACUCCUACGGGAGGCAGCAGUGGGGAAUAUUGGUCAAUGGGCGAAAGCCUGAACCAGCAAUGCCGCGUGAGUGAUGAAGGCCU
rnacentral:rRNA from 1 species